AUUUUCAAAGUCAAUGGUGAGUAAAUGAACAAUGGUUGCCAGGCAACCUGUGAGCAGGGAUUGAGUAGAGACUAAAGCAAACAGCAGCCUCCACCCCCCAUCCCAGGAACCCAGAGCCUCUCAGGCCUUGUGCUUCCAGGUAAUGACCCUCCCACCACAGCUCCACUGGACAGAACCGCCCCAGCUUCCUCCACCCAAACUCCUGCACCCACCACCCAGAGAAAUGGAAGUCAAGGACUCAGCAGUCCAAGGCAGCCCUUCUGAAGCAACUUCAGUGGCUCAGCAAAUGUUUGUUGAGAACCUCCUAUGUGCCUGGCUGGAGCAGGGUGUGGCUGUAGAGCUGCACAUCACAGUCCGUAUCCAGGUCAGCCCUGAAUCUCAGGCACUGGAAGCUCAGGGUUAGGAAUCUGGGGAUGAUAUCCUGUAGCAUCUAUAGUGUAAAUCAGCAGUUUUCAAUGUAUUCACUGUUUCUCUUUCUGCCUCAGGUUACCCUGAUGGGCAGGACACACUCCCAUCAGUAAGAGGACAUCAAAAGGGCAGGUGUGGGGGUGGACAGGAAGAUCAGAAUCUCUGAAAGGGCAGGUGUUUGAUAAAAGUCCCUUCCCUGUCCCCACAGCCUGGGACUCCUGGCACCCUGGGGGAGGGCUGUGCCUUCAGGACUCGCCUUAGACCGGGAGGAGCCAUGGAAGGAUUUUUCUGGAGAGGAGGAGUGGAGAUUGGUCUUUUGAGAUGUUUUUCAGACUUUUGCAUUGUGGCAACCUACAGACUCCACCUGGACCCACGAUUCAUGACUCAACUGGUACACCCAGAAGCUGACUCAGAGCAAAAGGACCAUUUUCCACACCCCUAGGAUUUCAUGUCCAACCAAUCAGUAUUCCCCAUUCUCUAGGUUUUUAUUCUUAAAAACCUUAGCCUCUGAGCUUUUAGGGAGAUUUAUUUAAGUAAUACACUCCUGUCUUCCACUUAGCUGGUUCUGUAUGUAUUAAACUCUUUCUCUACUGCCA